UAUUAGAGACAUAGUCUUUAUUUUCAAGGAGCUUUUAGAAGGAAAAUGCAUGUAUACAUAAUCUUCCCUGGUACCUGUUUUAAGAAUAAAUAGAGUAUUAAAAUCUCUGUUAAUAAUUAAAAUUGUUACUUUUGUGUAGCCCCAAAUUUCACAUGGUUAUUUGAUCAUGGAACAACUUCCCUUACCAUUGUUUUUUGCAUUUCAUGCAAACCCACUAAGAUGCCAUGCAACAAACACAACCUGGGAAACACCACUGAAGCAAGCAGGAUUUCCUCUCCCAUGAGGUCUGUAGGCUCCGUGCCCAUCAUGGACCCCAAUGUGGGACAAUCCUGAGACCAAGACCUGAGCUGAGAUCAAGAGUCGGAUGCUAACCAACCAAACCACCCAGGGACACAAUAUGAUGCAUUACCAGUGUUCACUACAGCAAAGAAAAUGGAAGGACCCAGAUUACAAUCCAGAAUUUACCACUUUAGGUAAGUAACUGUAAAUCAACAUUGUUUCUAGAUUUUUAAUUCUGUCUUAUAUUUUAUGGCAGAAUGUGUUUGCUAAUAACAUUCUAUAGCUGGAGGUCCUGUUUUGGGAAGAAGUGAAAUAGAUAGUGGGGAGUAUAAAGGUCUCUCAACAUCUAGAGCUUGAAUUAAUUUGUGCCAUAAGUCUAUGAAGUGAGAUAGAAAACUUUGGAUUCAAGCAAUAAAUAAUAAAUCUUUGGCAUGCUUCCAGAUUUGAGAUCAAUAUCAUUUAAGAAGAAAAAAAAUUUUUAUAGUUACUGCUACGGCAGAGUAAUCACUUGAAACAUAGUGCCUAGAAUAGUGCUUGGUAUAUGGUAGGUGAUCAAUGAAUAUUUGUUCAAUGAAUAUCAACAAGACUUUUUUCUUUUCCCCUUCCUCUCCAACUACAGCCAAAAUAUCUCUUUCUAAGACAUAGGUCUAUCACUGGCUAUUAGGGAUGGCUAUUAGGAUUGAAAAACAACAAAAAGAACAACAUUGUUUUCCUUCUAGGUCCAAAUAUAUCAUGGUUUAUUGUAUGUGUUAACUUGUCUGGCCCACAGUGCCCAGAUAUUUGGUCAAAUAUUAUUCUGGAUUUUUUGGUGAGGGUGUUCUUAGAUGAGAUUUACACUGAACUCAAUGGACUUGAAGUAAAACAGAUUGUCCUCCAUACUGUGAGUGAGCCUCAUCCAAUCAACUGAGGGUCUGAAUGGAGUGAAAGGCUGACUGUUCCCAAGCAGACUGCUUCAGACUUCCUCUGCAACAUCAGUUCUUCCUGAUUCCAUGGAAGACUGCCUUUGGUCUUGAACUGUAACUCUUUCCUGAGUUGUCAGCCUGCUGGGCUCAACCAUUAGAUUGUGAACUCUCCAAGCCUUCACAAUAGUGUGUGCCAAUUCCUUAAAAUAAA